rnacentral:rRNA from 1 species
UACGUAGGGUGCAAGCGUUGUCCGGAAUUAUUGGGCGUAAAGAGCUCGUAGGCGGUUUGUCGCGUCUGCUGUGAAAACCCGGGGCUCAACUUCGGGCUUGCAGGCGAUACGGGCAGACUUGAGUGUUUCAGGGGAGACUGGAAUUCCUGGUGUAGCGGUGAAAUGCGCAGAUAUCAGGAGGAACACCGGAGGCGAAGGCGGGUCUCUGGGAAACAACUGACGCUGAGGAACGAAAGCGUGGGUAGCAAACAGG